CCAGCAGCAAGGUGCACAAGUGGAAGAAGAGUAGGGUCAAAUGCGAAUACCCGAUGGCUUUUGUUUCCACCGCUUACGUCGGAGUUUACUAGUUGGUUCGCCGUGAAGCCAUCUGGAGGCAAUUCAUUUGGCAUUUCGCUCCAGGGGCUGUAGAAGUUUUAGCGUUACGCAGUCGUUCCAGUAAUGGCUAUUUUAGAGCUUCUCCCCGAAGACGACGACGGCAAUUGCUGCCCGUAUCGCUGAAAAUAUUUGUGUUCGCCAGUACUGUUCCUUUGCUACGGGUGCAAGCUGCUCGUAGGAAGUAUAUUUGACCUACUCGGAUUUGCGACGGAGCAUGGGAAGGGAAGGGACUGAUAUGCCAGACAAGAGAGUAGUGAAGUCAUGCGAUGCGAUUUCUGUACACUGGCUCGUGGACCGGACGUAGUAUGAUGGCAGGGUCAAGUCUAUGAAUGUUGGUUCUGGCAUUUGCAAAGUUCUGUAUGACAAUGGCAAGAGCGAGACGGUGAAUUUGUUCAAGGAAAGUCACAAAGUCAACGGGGGCGGGAAUGGAAAUGAGCUGAUCGAAAGAGUGUUGGCAGACUAUGAAGAAGUGUCGAUGCUGCUUGGACGCAUCGGUGUCGUUCUUCGUGAUGUGUGGGUGAGCAUCCGUUUCUUACGAUGUAUAUUCGUAAAAUUUUCAUUGAAAGUUUAGUUUUGCUCGCUUCAUCCAGGAUAAAAAUGCUGAGAAAGCGCUUAGGGAUGCCUCGGCAGCAUGCUGUUCAAAUGGGUAAAGUUGGUGGUCUGAUUGGUACUCUGGAAGCUGGAAAUGGAAUACGUUGGCAAAUGUAAUUACGAUCUUGCUUGCCAGCUUUGGACUAAUUUAUCUACCCCAUGGUGCACAGCGAAGAUCAAGAACAAUUUUCAUGCUGGAAGUUAGGCGGAAAGCUUCCUUACCUUAGGAGGAACAUAUCUCAUCUUGGAAAACAGGAGAAAGAACAGGGAAGGGUAUGAUGAGUGAACAGGUUAAAGAUGGUCUUUCUGAUAGGUUAAGAAGAGAUGUUUAUGAAGGGUAUUAUGGCGCAGAUGUUGAAGAGGAUAAAUCAAAUGUUGAACCAGAAAAUUCAUUGGACAUCACAGGCAAAGAUCAUUGUGGUCAGAAAGGAAACAAGAGAACCUCAAGGAUAAGUAGAGAUGCUGAAGAAGAUGGUAAGACUGAAGAUUCCUGCGGAGUCGGAAAUAGUCCACAACCGAUGAGUGGUACUCCGCAGCCUAAGAAUGCAAAAAGGUCGAGAAUAACGAAACGAAGAAUGCCUGACCACGAGGAAAGGAACUCCGAGGAGGAGCAUACGGGCGACAUUAGUGGAGAUGCUGAACUGGCCACAAGCAAAGUGAAGCAAGGACUGAAAGAAAUUCAGAGCGCUUUAAGGACAGGAAAUGUACCUGAUAAUAAAACAAAUAUUGGUGCUCGUAGCAGUUUCACUAGAAGUGCAAAAGUGACGGGGUCUAGUGUGCAGCCGAAAAUCGGGGAUAAUCAGAGAAGGCUACGGCAUAUCAAAGAGGUAGAGCCAUCAGAGAAUGAAGGUUUAGAUGACGAAAGUUCUGGGGCAGGAAGUUCAGAUGGCACUUUUUCUGAUAGUUCUCAGGAGUCUGACCGAGGGAAACAUGCCAAAUCAAUAACACGGACUAGAGUGUCAAAGCGAAAGUCAGAUGAGAUUGUUUCUUGUUUUGAAAAGAAAGUCAGAAGACGAGGAAGCAGGCUUGGCAAUUCUGGUCCAGGAAAAUCGUCAAGGGAGGCUCGAAGUGAGGUGAAUGGCGAUUUUGUCAUGGAGGGAAAUAUAGACGUUUCGUCGUGCAACGAAAAUGACAAGGGCAUAAUUGAUGGAAAGAUCAAUGGUAUUAGUGGUGAUAACUGUGCUCAAUAUCAUAUGAAACAGAGGUUUUCCAAGAAGGGAGAAGUUUCAAGAAUUAAGCAGAAACCUCAACGGGAUGGAAAUUCAUUAGAUGAAGAAGUUUGCUCCGUUUGUGAGUUCGCAGGAGCAGCAGAUUCGAUGUUGUUGUGUGACGGAGAGACCUGUGACGAAGCUUUCCACUUGUUCUGUUUGAAAUUCCCUCUUCAAGCUAUACCUGAAGGAGACUGGUUGUGUCCUCUCUGCUUAUAUGUGGAACGUGCGAAGGAAGCCAUUGGCACAAUUGUGAAACGAACUUCGAAAUUGCGCACCAGAAUGAUUCCUCCAUUAAAAAAAAUUGAGGGAAUAUUUGGAUUUCGUAAAGGUCCCUCUUUGGCUGAGGGUGAGGGUCAGAAGCAAAGGAAGCUACAAUAUCUUGUGAAGUGGUGUUCCCUUUCACAUCGGCAUGAUACUUGGGUCCCUGAAGAAUGGCUUUUAUUUGCUGACAAGACUCGCCUCGCCACCUAUCAACGCAAAUCCUCUGUUGGAGACGGAGAAGAGAUGUCUGAUGAGCGCAGGCCAGAGUGGGUGCAGAUAGAUCGCAUUAUUGCUUCUCGUAAUCAAGAUAAUGACUGUGUACCUUCUUCACCAGUAGCUUGGGAAGCUCCGGGAUUGAACUCCAGCAGAAAGGAGUAUUUAGUCAAGUGGACUAACAUAGAGUACAACGGAUCUACGUGGGAGGAAGAGAACAAUCACGAAGACAUGCAGGAAGCUAUAUCUAAGUUCAUUGAGAGGCAUAAUUUGGCAGAGAAAAGAGCGUGCACCGAUCAAGCAGACCAGGUUAUAGCACCUGCGAUUACAGAACAACCAAAAUAUAUUUCUGGAGGAGUUCUUCACGACUACCAACUCCAGGGUCUGAAGUGGUUGCUUAGUAACUUUCAGCAGCGGAAAAGUGUCAUACUGGCUGAUGAGAUGGGCUUAGGAAAAACAAUUCAAGCUGUGAGCUUCAUUAUGGCUCUCAAAUACGAGAAUCUUAGUAACAAACCUGUCUUGGUAAUAGGUCCAAAGAGUACCCUGGUCGGAUGGGAACAGGAGUUUGGACAAUGGGGAGCAGAUCUGAAUACAGUGAUUUAUCAAGGUGACAAAGAAAGUCGGACAAUGAUACGCAACUAUGAGUUUUUCACGAGAGAGAAAAUUCCUCUUUUUGAUGUUUUGGUAACAUCUUAUGAUCUGGCAAUGCUUGACAGCUCCCUUUUGGAAAAAAUGGAUUGGGCUUGCAUCAUAGUUGAUGAAGGACAUAGAGUUAAAAAUACAAGAUCAAAACUUGGAAUCCUUCUCCGGCGGCAGAAAGCUGAUUUUCGGCUCUUGCUUACAGGCACACCCGUACAGAAUACUUUGACAGAGUUGUUUGCACUCUUGCACUUCCUGGACCCGGUUGAGUUCCCAGAUCCGGAGAGGUCAGCUCAGGAGUUUUCUCAAGUGGACGCUCUCAGUGGAGCAGGUUCCAAAGGAGAGGGUGGGGUAGAUCAGCAAGUUUCUCGGCUUCAUAAGCUUCUGACACCUCGAAUGCUGAGAAGAUUGAAGGCAGAUGUUAUGCAAGGAAUGAUACCUGGGAAAAAAUACGUGGAAGUUCUGUGUGCUCUCACACCUCUUCAGCGGCAUUUAUAUGGGGCCAUUUUAAAGAAGAAUUACAAGCAGCUUAAUCGUGGCAAUACUACUGGUAAGAAAAGAUCACUCAACUUCAUCCUGAUGGACCUAAAGAUGGUCUGCAAUCAUCCGUAUCUAUUUCCUGGCAAGGAACCUGAACAUGGUGAUGCGGAUGAAUUAUUUAGGCUGCUUAUAACUGCCUCAGGAAAACUUCAAGUUCUUGCGAAGCUUCUUCCGAGACUGAAAGAAGGUGGUCACCGGGUGCUCCUAUUCUCUCAAAUGAAGAGCAUGCUCGACAUCUUGGAGGACUUUUUGAGUCACCUGGAUUACAAGUUCUGUAGAAUUGAUGGAAGUACACCUGCCUCCGGAAGACAGAAGCAGAUUGCCGAUUUCAAUAGUGCCAACUCCGAUGUAUUCAUCUUCCUCAUCUCAACUCGUGCUGGAGGCCUUGGGAUCAAUUUGCCAAGUGCAGAUACAGUCAUUAUCUACGAUCCUGAUUUUAAUCCAUUCGUAGAUUUGCAAGCCCAAGCUCGGGCUCAUCGUAUAGGUCAGAGGAAUGUAGUGCUUGUUUACCAGCUUAUUACUAAAUGUUCUGUAGAAGAGAAGAUUACUGAAAGGUCCCGCCAGAAAUUGGCCAUGGAAAACCUGGUCAUGAGUUCAAGCGAGAAAGACACAGCUGAGGAUGUUAACACUCUUCUUCUACAUGGAGCACGCAAAGUUCUUGAACAGUACGAUGUAGAAUGCACGUCAGUGAAGUGGACAGAUGAGAAAAUUGAAUUGCUUUUGAAUAGAGAUAUUUCAGAUACAAAAGAAAUGGAGGAUGGUGCUGGUUAUCUUGGUACAGUGCAAGAACCUGGAGGUAUGUUGGGUGCUCUUCCUUUGGAGGGGAGUCCUUUAAAAACUGGUCUAGAAUGGGAUGACCUACUUGGAAAAUUGGCAGAACAGGAUAUGGAAGCUGAAGAAGCUAAGUUAGGGAGAGGGAAAAGGCAGCGCAGAAAGAUCCAAUACAAAUUUGAGCCCAAUAUCAAUGCUCAUGAGGAUGAAGAGGGUGAAGGAAAUGCUUUUGAAGGCGACCCUACUUGCAGUGGCGCGCCGGCCAGCUCGUCAGGGUCUGAUUCUGAUGUUAGUCUUGAUGACAAAAAAAUGACGGGAACACGCGGUCCAUAUUUGACAAAGGUUAAAUCCAUGAAGGAGGAGCAAGGAGUAAGUUCACUACCACCACAGCAGCAUCCUGGCCCAGGUGCUUCCGAGCUGCCCAAACCAGAUUCCUCAACUUCGAUCCCUCUAGUGUUGCCAAAACAUUUCCAGCCCUCCGAAGUCAUUUCACCUCGACCUUCUUUGGUGCACAUAAAUGAACCUAGUGCAAUACUGCCUACAUACUGCACUCCAUCUCUUUCUCCUUGGUCUUCUCCACAUCUUCCACAAACCACUUCAGCAGUAGUUUCAAGCAAUAACCAGUCUCCUGGUUUAAAUUAUGCUGGUUUCUCAAUCUCAUACCCUCAUACUUGGAACGAAAUGUCUGCUAGUGCUGGAUCAUUUCAAAGUUCAAAGGCUUCUUGGGAGUAUUCCGCGCCUCGUUUCCAUGGCUUGAGUGGUGCCUCAGUUUCUCUCCCACAGCCGUUGCAGCCUCUGCAGUCUCCUCUGUCUUGUCCGAAGGAACUUCCAAUCCCUCCAGCUCGAUCUCUAGUUCAUGGUCCUGCUCCUCAUUAUGUUGCUAGUCAUAAAGUUUCUGAGAGCUUGAGUCCAAAGGACUUAAAGAUUACUCUAACCUCCAGUAUCAUGCAACAGGGGACAAGUCCUAAAGAAUUGAAGGUUACUUCGACAUCCACAAGCAUUCAACCAGAAAGAAAGCCUCAUAAGUCUCCUAUGGUUCAGACUGCAAUUCUAGAGAUUGACAGAAGAUACUUGAGUUCUCCACUUGAGCCAAAUGUCAUGCCCUUUCCUAUGCCAAAGUCACAUUCAUUGCCAUACAAAACAAACAUAAGGCCAGUUGACGUAGUUGCUCCUCAAGAGGGUACAACAUUUCGAGGGGUUUUCUCCCAAGUGUCCAACGAGCGAGCCAGCAACCCAGAGUAUCUGUCCUUAGCAGAAGUUUUGAGGCAGACUGGGUCGCAUUUGUCAAGUUCCCAGGCUUCCCCAACGUUUACUGCUCUUCAAGAUGCCAAGGGAUUAUCCUUGGAAGAAGUCUUACGGCAAACAGGUUCACCUUUGUCAAGAUCACAGGCUUCCCCAAGAACGAUGGUUCUGCCAGAUGCGAAGGGCUUGUCCUUGGAAGAUGUAUUACGGAAAACAGGGUCUACGUUAACAGCUACUAAGCGUGCCUCAACCACAGGAACUUCAUCACAACUUUUCGAGGAAGCCAAGAACAUGUCUUUGCAAGACGUCCUACGGCGCACUGGUGCUACCAAUAUUCCUACCGAAGAGCUUAAUAAGCGAGCAGUACCGUCAGCACCAGGAGCACCAUCCCAACUCUUGCAAGAUACCACGAAGAUGUCAUUAGAAGAAGUUCUGAGGCAGACUGGAUCGAAGUUAAUAGCUCCGAAGAGAGCAGUGUCUCCUAAACACCCAGUGCCUCAUAAAGAUGCCGUUGAACUUCUUGUACCACAAGGAUCACUGCCUCAAAAUGAUUCGAGCUCUACUGAGACAAACCAAUCCAAAUCCGCAGUGAUUCCAUCAUCAUCACAAGUUUCAUUGGAUGCUAAAAGCAAUUCCUCACAAGCAGUUACUCAGAAAAAUAGUAAUCCAUUGGCUGGGAUCAGGCAGAUAGUUUCUUCACAAACUCCAUCACAAGUUCUGUCUGAAACCCAAAUAUCUUUAUCGAUCCAAUCGGCUCCACUAUGCCCAAAAAUUGAAGCCGAACAUGAGGUGUAGGAGAUGAGCGACAAUCUUGUUAGACCAAAUUGUCUUCCAGCAUCAUCUGGGAACACUAAUGUUAAGGUUGCUAACACCACCACCCCUAAUGAUAUUGCCUUCAUCUGCGCUCUGAUGCCUACAAUACAGCACCCUGCUGUUUCUUUGGAUUACCAUUUGUACAUCUAAUAUCACUGAAUUUGAUGAAACAUAAUCUCAUUUUGUAUGUCA